rnacentral:rRNA from 1 species
UGGUCAUAUGCUUGUCUCAAAGAUUAAGCCAUGCAUGUGUACGCAUAAACGAAUCUAAAGUGAAGCCGCGAAUAGCUCAUUACAACAGCCGUUGUUUCUUGGAUCUCCGCUUUUACUUGGAUAACUGUGGCAAUUCUAGAGCUAAUACAUGCAAUCGAGCUCCGACUUAACAGGACGAGCGCAUUUAUUAGACCAAACCAAUCGGCUCACGCCGCUCACUGGUGAAUCUGAAUAACUACGCAGAUCGCUUCGGUUUCACACCGGCGACAUAUCCUUCAAGUGUCUGCUUUAUCAACUUUCGUUGGUAGUUUAUACGCCUACCAAGGUUUUAACGGAUAACGGAGAAUCAGGGUUCGACUCCGGAGAGGGAGCCUGAGAAACGGCUACCACUUCUAAGGAAGGCAGCAGGCGCGCAAAUUACCCACUCUCGGCACGAGGAGGUAGUGACGAAAAAUAACGAGAUAACCCGCUCUAGCGAGUUAUCAUCGGAAUGAGUACGAUCUAAAUCCUUUAACGAGGACCUAGCGGAAGG